rnacentral:misc_RNA from 1 species
UAAAUCCUCGGAAAUGUGUAAUACAGCAGUCUAUAAUCAUACAUAACUACAUUUGUCUUCUAUAUUUUCUAAUAUGGUAGCAGGUGCCUUAUCCUUGAUAAUAUAUUAAUUACAUAUCUGAUGGAUUUCUAGAUGAUCAGCAUAACCAGUAUUUUUUUUAACCUGUGGUCAUUAUAGUAGUUUAAGUUUUGGUUAAGUGAUUAGAAACAUGAAGCAGUUCUUAGGGGAAAUCAAUAUUAUCAACCUUUACCUCUUUUUCAUACUUGUCGCUAGAUUGUCUUCUGUAGCAUUUAUUUCCUGUUGUUUGUAAUUUUUUUUUUUAA